UCCUUGAGGCUGAGGUAGUAGAUUGAAUAGUUGUGGAGUCUGGUCCUCCCUCUGAGCUAACUAUACAAUCUACUGUCUUUCCUAAGGAGACA
ensembl:miRNA